AACGAACGCUGGCGGCAUGCCUAACACAUGCAAGUCGAACGAGACCUUCGGGUCUAGUGGCGCACGGGUGCGUAACGCGUGGGAACCUGCCCUUAGGUUCGGAAUAACUCCCCGAAAGGGGUGCUAAUACCGGAUAAUGUCUUCGGACCAAAGAUUUAUCGCCUUUGGAUGGGCCCGCGUUGGAUUAGCUAGUUGGUAGGGUAAAAGCCUACCAAGGCGCCGAUCCAUAGCUGGUCUGAGAGGAUGAUCAGCCACACUGGGACUGAGACACGGCCCAGACUCCUACGGGAGGCAGCAGUGGGGAAUAUUGGACAAUGGGCGAAAGCCUGAUCCAGCAAUGCCGCGUGAGUGAUGAAGGCCUUAGGGUUGUAAAGCUCUUUUACCCGGGAUGAUAAUGACAGUACCGGGAGAAUAAGCUCCGGCUAACUCCGUG
rnacentral:rRNA from 1 species